rfam:Populus trichocarpa scaffold_246_contig_7, whole genome shotgun sequence.
UUUAGAACUCGAGAUAUGGGCUGAACACUAAAUAAUGUCUGGGCUGCAGGACAGAUUCGGACUUCUUUGUUGUUGCUGCCAUUUGGACUCCACAUGAAAGUUGUAGGCCUAUGUAUUAGCUUUCCAUC